rnacentral:pre_miRNA from 1 species
CCGAAGAUCAUUUUUCAGUUUUUUGAUACAAUGUUUUGACUCUCCGUCUUAUUUGAAAUUUUUUGCGAUUAAUAUUUUUAUUCUUACUAGAUGAUAAAACAUAAAUAGUACUUUAUGCAUGACUAAUUUUAUUUUUAUUUUUAUUUUUUUAACAAAUUUUUCAAAUAAGACAAAUAGUCAACGUUGGACACAGAAAA